GGCAAUGUCAUUAUUUCAGGAACUGCUAUGAAAAAACCAAGUUUCCCUAUGUUUGGAUGUAAAACUUCAUCUACUUUUCAGAAGCUCUCCAAAAUUAUUUACCAGCUUGAGCCUGCUCCCUCAAAAGGAGCCUCAGUUCCUAACAAAAGUGACUUUUUGUAGAAACUCUGCAGGUCAGAAGAUUUUUGUAUGGAAUGAUCUUCUCCAAUCAAUUAUUUGAAUCUAAGGUGUGCUCAAGAGGAGAAUCAGUUUCCCAUUCAACCACUUAGGAUUCUUUCUCUCUGCGUCCUAAAUUUGGCUUUGAGACCUUGGAUGAUGAUUCUCCUAAUCUGGUCAAUGGACCACCUGCAAGAAUCACCCAGGACUGGAGCCCAGGAAUCUGCUCAGUAACGUGACUGGGGUGCAUAGGAAGAGAAGAUCAUCAGUGGCAAAUGGCAGUCACAGGAAAGCAACACCCACAGCCGGUUUCACACGUGUGGAGAGCACCCUGAGCCUCCUCCUCCUGGUUUCCCGUGCUCUGCAAGUUCAGAGAAACUUCUCUCACAACCAACUAUAGAAACAAUCUUGGAACGUACAGUCUUAGAAAUGGCUUUUUAAUUGCAGCAUAUCAGAGUGAAAAAGGACCCAGAGAUGUUGGAAUCAGACAAUCCUGGUUUCAAAUCGGUUUCAUUGUUCAUCCUCAUGUGAUGUUUGGCAAGAAAUAAAACAUUUCUGCGUUCA
rnacentral:lncRNA from 1 species